rnacentral:rRNA from 1 species
AGGAAUAUUGGUCAAUGGACGAGAGUCUGAACCAGCCAAGUAGCGUGAAGGAUGACUGCCCUAUGGGUUGUAAACUUCUUUUAUACGGGAAUAAAGUGAGGCACGUGUGCCUUUUUGUAUGUACCGUAUGAAUAAGGAUCGGCUAACUCCGUGCCAGCAGCCGCGGUAAUACGGAGGAUCCGAGCGUUAUCCGGAUUUAUUGGGUUUAAAGAGAGCGUAGGCGGACGCUUAAGUCAGUUGUGAAAGUUUGCGGCUCAACCGUAAAAUUGCAGUUGAUACUGGGUGUCUUGAGUACAGUAGAGGCAGGCGGAAUUCGUGGUGUAGCGGUGAAAUGCUUAGAUAUCACGAAGAACUCCGAUUGCGAAGGCAGCUUGCUGGACUGUAACUGACGCUGAUGCUCGAAAGUGUGGGUAUCAAACAGGAUUAGAUACCCUGGUAGUCCACACAGUAAACGAUGAAUACUCGCUGUUUGCGAUAUACAGUAAGCGGCCAAGCGAAAGCGUUAAGUAUUCCACCUGGGGAGUACGCCGGCAACGGUGAAACUCAAAGGAAUUGACGGGGGCCCGCACAAGCGGAGGAACAUGUGGUUUAAUUCGAUGAUACGCGAGGAACCUUACCCGGGCUUGAAUUGCAACUGAAUGAUGUGGAGACAUGUCAGCCGCAAGGCAGUUGUGAAGGUGCUGCAUGGUUGUCGUCAGCUCGUGCCGUGAGGUGUCGGCUUAAGUGCCAUAACGAGCGCAACCCUUAUCGAUAGUUACCAUCAGGUUAUGCUGGGGACUCUGUCGAGACUGCCGUCGUAAGAUGUGAGGAAGGUGGGGAUGACGUCAAAUCAGCACGGCCCUUACGUCCGGGGCUACACACGUGUUACAAUGGGGGGUACAGAAGGCAGCUACACGGCGACGUGAUGCUAAUCCCGAAAGCCUCUCUCAGUUCGGAUUGGAGUCUGCAACCCGACUCCAUGAAGCUGGAUUCGCUAGUAAUCGCGCAUCAGCCACGGCGCGGUGAAUACGUUCCCG